rnacentral:rRNA from 1 species
GUCCACGCUGUAAACGUUGGGCGCUAGGUGUGGGGUGCUUCCACGUGUCCCGUGCCGUAGCUAACGCAUUAAGCGCCCCGCCUGGGGAGUACGGCCGCAAGGCUAAAACUCAAAGGAAUUGACGGGGGCCCGCACAAGCGGCGGAGCAUGUUGCUUAAUUCGACGCAACGCGAAGAACCUUACCAAGGUUUGACAUCGCCCGGAAACAUCCAGAGAUGGGUGCCUCUUCGGACUGGGUGACAGGUGGUGCAUGGCUGUCGU